rnacentral:rRNA from 1 species
CCCUGUUGAGCUUGACUCUAGUCUGGCUUUGUGAGGAAUCACAAGAGGUGUAGUAUAGGAGGGAGCGUAAGCGACAGUGAAAUACCUCCACUUUUGUCGAUUCUUUACUUAGUUGGUUAAGUGAGGUACCAUUUAUUUGGUUCUUUAUGUAUUGAAAUACAAUGUAUCUACAUUGUAUGACUCUCGCCAAUAACAGUGCCAGGCGGGGAGUUUGACUGGGGCGGUAUAACUGUCAAAUCGUAACGCAGUUGUCCUAAAGCUUACUCAGAAAGGACAGAAACCUUUUGUAGACAAAAGGGUGAAAAGUAUGCUUGAUCUUGAUUCUCAGUACGAAUACAGACCGAAAAAUCGUGGCCUAUCGAUCCUUUUGGAUAUAGAGUUUAUACUAAGAGGUGUCAGAAAAAUUACCAUAGGGAUAACUGGCUUGUGGCAGCCAAGCGUCCAUAGCGACGUUGCUUUUUGAUCCUUCGAUGUCGGCUCUU